rnacentral:rRNA from 1 species
GGUGAACGCUGGCGGCGUGCCUAACACAUGCAAGUCGAGCGGUGCAGUUUGAAGCUUCGGUGGAAAGCUGCAUAGCGGCGGACGGGUGAGGAAAACGUAGGAACGUGCCCCUUGGAGUUGGAUAGCCACGGGAAACUGUGGGUAAACCGACAUAGACUCGAGAGAGUAAAGGCCGAAAGGCGCCAAGGGAGCGGCCUGCGGCCCAUCAGGUAGUUGGUAGUGUAAAGGACUACCAAGCCGACGACGGGUAGCCGGUCUGAGAGGAUGGCCGGCCACAAGGGCACUGAGAGACGGGCCCUACUCCUACGGGAGGCAGCAGUGGGGGAUUUUGGACAAUGGGCGAAAGCCUGAUCCAGCGACGCCGCGUGCAGGAUGAAGGCCUUCGGGUUGUAAACUGCUUUGUUACGGAACGAAAAGGACUCUGGUUAAUACCUGGGGCGUCAUGACGGUACCGUAAGAAUAAGCACCGGCUAACUACGUG